ensembl:lncRNA
GCUGGGACGAAUAAAAAUUGUUGAAGAGUUUUACUAUGUUUCUUUCUUCUCUAAGACUCCAGAGAGGAGACCGAGCCCCGAGGAGACUGAGCCCUUUAAAGAGAGUCCCAUGGUGACACAGUGCUUUCGAGAGACACCACAGGUGUGUGUAACCCUUUUAUGCCUCAGAUUUUUCUGUACUUAUUUUACUUAAGGCUCCAACUGAGCUAUAGGGAUUUUUAUGUUCGGAUAGUAGUGGUAAUAUGUAAUUUACUUGCCCCAUAUGCAUAAAAUUGUUAGAGUUUAACAGUGUUUUUCUUCUCUAACAAGACUGCAGCUGAGGCCUCAGCGAAAACACAGGUGAAUAACAUAUGUAGUAAGGAUGGGUAUAAACCAUGUGCUUUGUAGAAGCCAAUUAGUGUUAUAAGUGACAAUCAUCCUUUCCUCCUGCCCCCCUUCGCUCCUCUUCACCCACUGUCUUUUCUCCUUCCCUACUCUCCAUCCAACCUCCUCCUUUCCCCCCACCCUGUACUCCUCUUCUCCUUUAAUAACGUUUAGGGCAAUGAUGAAUUUGUUUCAUAUCUUUAUCAUUAAUCUGCAUUUGUACAUAAAAUCAUUUUAACUAUUGGGAAGCUAAGCAUAAGAAUCAAUAUGAAACAUGAAAAAGUUUCUAAAAGUAUAUUAAUAUUGUGAUGUGAAAUAUUUUUCAGAUUGAAGUUAUAAAGGGCUCUGGGGUGUUUUGCCAGGCAGAAGCGUGGAAAGCAGCCCGCCUUGCCAACUCUGCUACUGCCAUGGUGCGGAAUCUGCUGCUGGGCACCUUUGAUUUGGAGACUUUGCUGAAAAGCAACCUGAAUGGUGGGAAGCCAACCAGAGGGGAUGGGGAGCAGCUGGUUGCUCUUGACAAAAUUAAAAAGGCAGCCAUUAUUGGUGAGUAAAUGCAUAAUACGUUGAGAAGGAAAAACACAUCUUUUAAGACUUUAUAAGUUCACCACUUUAACCAUAGCCUACUUGUAUCAAUGUUUAUUAGGCAUCAAUGGAGACUGCAAAAGGUAGGGCACCCAUUAUUGUUACUGUAUCUGCUUAGGACCUAUAAUACUAAUUCAUCGUUUGCUCACUUCUUGAUCCUACCUUUCCUCUUCUAAAUCCACAUUUCUGGUGUAUUGCACUGUAAGGUGUGUAGUCCUCUAUUUUGUAGAAUAUAUAGGGGUGGUUUCCCGGACAGGGUUAUCUUAAACCAGGACUAGGCCUUAGUUUAAUUAGGAAAUAUAAUUAGUUUUAACAAGCAUGCCUUUCUAAAAACAUUACUUGUGUACAUUUUGAGGCAAAACAAAGGGGACUGAUGUAUUUUAAGAUAUGUCAGUGCAAGAUUUUUCAGUUUGGACAGCUCUUACAUUUAUUUUAGUCUAGGACUAGUCGAAUCCCUGUCCGGGAAACCACCCCUACGUGUUGCAAAUACCUCAUAGCACUAGUUGUUGUCAUCUGAAGUGUUAAUAAAUAAUCACAUUCACCCCUCCUUCA